UAUAUUAAAAAAAAAAAAAAAUUUAUUUGGAACGAUACAGAGAAGAUCAUCAUGGCCCCUGUGCAAAGAUGACACGCAAAUUGGUGAAGCGUUCCAUAUUAAA